UCAGAUAAGGCCGCUUACACACAAAGUCUAGCUGGGUGGCUGCGGCUCAAGUACAAGGUCUUGACUCUUCAUUGGCCGCCGACAUGCAUCGGUUUUAAGGCUUGGACCCAUAUCCAAGCUUCUGGUUGGGCCCUCGCCGGACGUAAUGGCGUCACUGGUGAGAUGGGAACGGCUCCGUGGUCACUGUUGUCUAAAACCAUAUAUGCGGCGCUUGCUUGGGACCAGUUGAUAAGGAGUAUGUAAAUGUCCAGUUGUCAAUCAAAUAGUGCUACAUCUAAGACACUUGUCCCUGCUAGAUAAGAGGAUCCAGCAUGCACCCAUGCACGCGUGGUACCAGGGGCAAGAAAUGGUGCUCAAUGUGUCUAUUGUACCAAAACAAUUAAAGGUGGUGGAGUCACAAGGUUGAAGUAUCAUCUUGGUGGGAUUUCAGAAACAUAAAAAUGGGAAGAGAUGUUCUGGAUUCAAUCAACCAUGAGAACAUUAACUUGAUGGAGGAAUGGGUAGGUGAUGAAUUAGAGCUUAUUAAUGGAGAAGACUUGGAUUGAGGAAGUAUUUCAAGGAAGAUAUUAAGUUUUUCCUUCCAUAUUUGUACAGAUUCAUCUUCUUAAGAUAGUAUUUCAAUGCAAUCAACGUAGAAUCUGGACCUAGAUACUCCAUAUCAAUUUGGGUUUAAUCAUAUUUUGAGUAACAUUUCGAAUGUUGAUCCGUAUUGUCUUAUUGAUGAAGAUGAAUGAUUAUUUCUUUUAACAGUUGGAUCGAAAACUUAUG